rnacentral:rRNA from 1 species
CCUACGGGAGGCAGCAGUGAGGAAUUUUGGGCAAUGGGCGAAAGCUUGACCCAGCGACACCGCGUGGGGGAUUGAAGGCCUUCGGGUCGUAAACCCCUGUCAGGGGGAACGAAGCCCCGAUGUUUCCCAUCGGGGUGACGGUACCUCCAGAGGAAGCCUCGGCUAACUACGUGCCAGCAGCCGCGGUAAGACGUAGGAGGCAAGCGUUGUCCGGAAUUAUUGGGCGUAAAGCGCCCGUAGGCGGGGGUGAAAGCCGGGGGAAAAAGCCCCGGACCCAAUCGGGGCCCCGCGCCCGAUACUCCCGUCCUGGAGGGAAGCAGAGGAAGGCGGAAUUCCCGGUGUAGCGGUAAAAUGCGUAGAUACCGGGAGGAACACCGUUGGCGAAGGCGGCCUUCUGGGCUUCUCCUGACGCUGAGGGGCGAAAGCCUGGGGAGCGAACCGGAUUAGAUCCCUUGGUAGU